rnacentral:rRNA from 1 species
AUUGAACGCUGGCGGCAUGCCUUACACAUGCAAGUCGAACGGCAGCGGGCCUUCGGGUGCCGGCGAGUGGCGAACGGGUGAGUAAUGCAUCGGAACGUGCCAUUGAGUGGGGGGAUAACGUAGCGAAAGUUGCGCUAAUACCGCAUAUUCUGUGAGCAGGAAAGCAGGGGACCGCAAGGCCUUGCGCUCUUUGAGCGGCCGAUGUCAGAUUAGCUAGUUGGUGAGGUAAAGGCUUACCAAGGCGACGAUCUGUAGCGGGUCUGAGAGGAUGAUCCGCCACACUGGAACUGAGGCACGGUCCAGACUCCUACGGGAGGCAGCAGUGGGGAAUUUUGGACAAUGGGGGCAACCCUGAUCCAGCCAUGCCGCGUGAGUGAAGAAGGCCUCGGUUG